UACGGGGGGAGCAAGCGUUGUUCGGAUUUACUGGGCGUAAAGGGCGCGUAGGCGGCCAGCACAAGUCAGUUGUGAAAUCUCCGAGCUUAACUCGGAACGGUCAACUGAUACUGUGCGGCUAGAGUGCGGAAGGGGCAACUGGAAUUCCUGGUGUAGCGGUGAAAUGCGCAGAUAUCAGGAGGAACACCGGUGGCGAAGGCGGGUCUCUGGGCCGAUACUGACGCUGAGGAGCGAAAGCAUGGGUAGCGAACAGG
rnacentral:rRNA from 1 species